UACGUAGGGUGCAAGCGUUGUCCGGAAUUAUUGGGCGUAAAGAGCUCGUAGGCGGUCUGUCGCGUCGGCUGUGAAAACCCGGAGCUCAACUCCGGGCCUGCAGUCGAUACGGGCAAACUGGAGUGUUGCAGGGGAGACUGGAAUUCCUGGUGUAGCGGUGAAAUGCGCAGAUAUCAGGAGGAACACCGGUGGCGAAGGCGGAUCUCUGGGCAACAACUGACGCUGAGGAGCGAAAGCGUGGGGAGCGAACAGG
rnacentral:rRNA from 1 species